rnacentral:rRNA from 1 species
AUUGAACGCUGGCGGCAUGCUUUACACAUGCAAGUCGAACGGUAACAGGCCGCAAGGUGCUGACGAGUGGCGAACGGGUGAGUAAUGCAUCGGAACGUGCCCAGUCGUGGGGGAUAACGCAGCGAAAGCUGUGCUAAUACCGCAUACGAUCUAUGGAUGAAAGCGGGGGACCGUAAGGCCUCGUGCGAUUGGAGCGGCCGAUGUCAGAUUAGGUAGUUGGUGGGGUAAAGGCUCACCAAGCCAACGAUCUGUAGCUGGUCUGAGAGGACGACCAGCCACACUGGGACUGAGACACGGCCCAGACUCCUACGGGAGGCAGCAGUGGGGAAUUUUGGACAAUGGGCGCAAGCCUGAUCCAGCAAUGCCGCGUGCAGGAAGAAGGCCUUCGGGUUGUAAACUGCUUUUGUACGGAACGAAACGGUCUGGGUUAAUACCCUGGGCUAAUGACGGUACCGUAAGAAUAAGCACCGGCUAACUACGUGCCAGCAGCCGCCGUAAAAC